UUUGUUCCAACGUUCAAAUUUGAAGAUUAGUUUUAACUUUGAACUUGAGAAUACAUGCAUGUGCGUUGGGUUGAAUUCCCACCGCUGAAUUUGAAGAUCAAUUCAGCAGUUAAUACAUCGACAAGCUCAAUUCAGAGAAAAUCAUAGCCAAUUAAUCACAUUGACAUGGCUGGUUAUACUUAUACAUGGACACCGGCAAUUUAUUUAGAUGAAAAUGAAUAAGUGCGAUUUUCUGCAUUUUCACAAAUAACUAUCUAUAUUGUCAUUUUUUUAAUAGAAUAUCUAUAUUGUCAUUUCAAGUAUUUCUCAAACCAGUCAAGCAUUAAGGCAAGAGCCUGUUCAGCAGUAUUGACAGCAAACUGGUUGCUGGCGUUAUAUCUGCAAGCAAAGCCAUGAGACACGCCUGGAAAGAUCCUGGCAAAGUAAUCAACCUGCAACAAAGAUGCAAUCCAUUAGAGGCACUUUUUAAUUUGCUUCUUUUCUUAAACAUUAUUGAGUGGUUGUGUUGAAGAAAAAAUUAGGGUCUUCUUGCAAAUAUAGAACAAGUCAAGAAGAUAUAGGAUAUUUUCCGAAUUUAUGGCCAUGUACAUGUAUGGAACUUUAAUUGCAAUGUACUAGUGUUUAGACUUUAGUUAUUGUAAAUUUCCCAAAUGUUCUUCUCAAAAACAACUUUCCAAAUGUUGACUUCCAAUUAGUGCCGGCAUGAUCUUUUAAUAUCUCAUCAUCACUGGGAGAUUUAUCUCUUCUCUGUUUACUGUUUCUUUUUUUUUCUUGGGGAGGGGGGGUGAAUAAACUCUGUUUCAGUUAUUCUUGUGCUUUCUAUUUUGUAAUUUUUUUUUACAAAAUUUAAAGAUCAUUUGGCAUCAAGUGCCAAUGAAACCCAACAGCAACUCACCUCAGUUGUUCUCAAAAAAAAAAAAACUCACCUCAGUUGUUUGACGCAACACAUUCACAAACUGGUCCACCAAACUUGGUGGUGUUAUAGGGUCAUUCUGACCUCCAAGGAUUUCAAUGGGGCAUUUGACACCUUUCAUAUCAUCAGCAAUCACCUCUGAAGGAUGAGAGAUGACAAUCGCUUCAACUUCAUUGGUUUUGGCCACCUCCACAGCAAACUUUGCACCCCAACAAUAACCUCCAAUUCCAAUAACAGAUUUGCCUUCCCUUUUUAGAGCAGCAAAAAUUGAUUUAGCAUCUUCAGCUGCUUUUACCGGAGAGUGAAGCGUGAUCCAUUUUGUAACGUUUAUACUUGGGUCUCCAUUGUAAGGUUGUCCAUGGAAGAAAUCAGGUACCACAACGUAAUACCCAGCUUCACCAACUUUGUCAGCAUUGUCCCAUAGAUGUCGGAGGCCAGGAUGAUGGCCCGGCCGGAGUGGACGUCGCCGGUGACAUAGGCCGGGAAGCCUGCCAGGUCAUCGAUGACCACGCCGGCCUCACCGUCGCCGUCGGCCGUCAGCUCCGGCGGGUUGUCGAGGCACGGCAAGCGCAGCGAAUCGGCAGAGGUGGCAGCGCCGCCGCCGCCGCCGCCGGCCACGGCGAGGCAGAGGAUGCUCCAGCAGAGCAGCAACGAAGACGGCGCCAUGGUAAUUAAUUAGCUCU
rnacentral:sRNA from 1 species